AGAAUCAACGCUGGCGGCGUGCCUAACACAUGCAAGUCGCACGAGAAAGGGACUUCGGUCCUGAGUAAAGUGGCGCACGGGUGAGUAACACGUGACUAACCUACCUUUUAGUGGGGGAUAACCUAGGGAAACCUGGGCUAAUACCGCAUAAUACCUACGGGUCAAAGCAGCAAUGCGCUGGAAGAGGGGGUCGCGGUCGAUUAGUUAGUUGGCAGGGUAAUGGCCUACCAAGACUGUGAUCGAUAUCCGGCCUGAGAGGGCGCACGGACACACUGGAACUGAAACACGGUCCAGACUCCUACGGGAGGCAGCAGUGGGGAAUUUUGCGCAAUGGGGGAAACCCUGACGCAGCAACGCCGCGUGGAGGAUGAAGUCCCUUGGGACGUAAACUCCUUUCGAUCGGGACGAUAAUGACGGUACCGGAAGAAGAAGCCCGGCUAACUUCGCGCCAGCAGCCGC
rnacentral:rRNA from 1 species